UUGAACGCCUGGGGGCGGCGUGCUUAACACAUGCAAGUCGAACGGGAUCCCUGGCGCUUGCGCCGGGGUGAGAGUGGCGAACGGGUGAGUAAUGCGUGACCAACCUGCCCCAUGCACCGGAAUAGCUCCUGGAAACGGGUGGUAAUGCCGGAUGCUCCAGAUGACCGCAUGGGAUUCUGGGAAAGCUUUUGCGGCAUGGGAUGGGGUCGCGUCCUAUCAGCUUGUUGGUGGGGUGAUGGCCCACCAAGGCUUCGACGGGUAGCCGGCCUGAGAGGGCGACCGGCCACAUUGGGACUGAGAUACGGCCCAGACUCCUACGGGAGGCAGCAGUGGGGAAUAUUGCGCAAUGGGCGAAAGCCUGACGCAGCGACGCCGCGUGCGGGAUGGAGGCCUUCGGGUUGUAAACCGCUUUUAUCGGGGAGCAAGCGAGAGUGAGUGUACCCGUUGAAUAAGCACCGGCUAACUACGUGCCAGCAGCCGCGGUAAUACGUAGGGUGCAAGCGUUAUCCGGAUUUAUUGGGCGUAAAGGGCUCGUAGGCGGUUCGUCGCGUCUGGUGUGAAAGUCCAUCGCUUAACGGUGGAUCUGCGCCGGGUACGGGCGGGCUGGAGUGCGGCAGGGGAGACUGGAAUUCCCGGUGUAACGGUGGAAUGUGUAGAUAUCGGGAAGAACACCAAUGGCGAAGGCAGGUCUCUGGGCCGUUACUGACGCUGAGGAGCGAAAGCGUGGACG
rnacentral:rRNA from 1 species